GGAGAGGUGGCCGAGUGGUUGAAGGCGACGGUCUCGAAAACCGUUAUCUCCUCACCGGGGAUCGCGGGUUCGAAUCCCGCCCUCUCCGCCA
rnacentral:tRNA from 1 species